UGGCCUAGGCAGGCCUCCAUUAGCCGUAGCCUGCCUGAAUGACAGGCAAUCCUAAAAUGCCUUCGUUCCUGAUACCUUUGCUUAGCAGAAGCAUUGAGCUUCCCUGGAGGCAGGCCUAAGGCUCCACCUGUGAACGGAGGCUUGAUUUCUUCAAGACUGUCCUAUCUGGGAGGUUGCUCUGGCCAGAGCCUUAGGAGCUACAGUGCAUGUUGUAGACUAUGAGGCUGGCUCCCCCUAGAGUUGUCCAGAGCACAACCAAAUAUUGUGUGCUCACCUCUAGAGCUUCAUGAAGCAGAAUUUUAUAACCACUAGACCUGAUUAUCACUUUGCAGGCUUGGAGAGCUGACACUCCUCUAUCAGGUUAGCAUUUAGCGAGUACUUCACUUACCCUAAGGUGUGAGUUCAUAGUGGCUUAAUCCACUAACAUUCCUUAGGGGUGUUUGUGUAUUCACUGGACACAAAAACUGUUUAAUGCCCAGGUUUAAAGGGCAUAGCUGGAGAAUGCUAGGCAUUGUCUAAGACAAGAAAGAGAUGCUGAGGUCCAGGAGACUCCCUUGUGUCUAACAGUUUAUUCGAGAAUAGCAAAUGCCCGCCUGUCUGUGACCAGUGUUUUCUUGGAGCCAAGAAUUAUGCCUCUUGGGCAUUUUGACCACCCCAGAAGAUAUAUGCCAUUUUUACUGAAUAGAGGAGAGGAAGAAAACUCAGAUUUAUCCCCUACCCACUAUUAGCCAGAAGUUAUGCUAGCACUGUGACAAAUGUCAUUUCAUUUAUUUUCACAACUACCCUUCUGGGCUGUUAUUAUCACCUCCUGGAAACAAGUAAUGUGAGGCUGAAGGGAACUAAGCAUAUUGCCUUAAGUGACAGAGCAAAUAAGAGGCAAACUUGUGAUUUGAACCCAUGUCUGUGUACACCCAGAGUCAGUCCUCCCCUCCCUCCUGCCGCCAUCAGAUGGAAUCCCAUCUGUGUUCUGGGUAUCAGCGUCCUCUGAGGAGUUCACUAAAAUGUGCAUUCCAGUUGAAAUCUGAAUUUCUAGGAGUCAGUCCCAGAAAUUUCUAUGUAAUUCCUCCCUGCCCUCAACAAGGGAUUCUGGUACAGAACCUGGUUUGUAAACUAACGUUUUGGAAGUUAGGUUGACGUUUGAUAGUAGAAAUAAUCUCACUAG
rnacentral:lncRNA from 10 species